CCCUUAGACGUUCUGGGCCGCACGCGCGCUACACUGACCAGUGCAACAAGCAUCCGUCCUUGGCCGACAGGCUCGGGCAAUCUUUGAACGCUGGUCGUGAUGGGGAUAGACUUUUGCAAUUUUUGGUCUUCAACGAGGAAUUCCUAGUAAACGCAAGUCAUCAACUUGCAUUAAUUACGUCCCUGCCCUUUGUACACACCGCCCGUCGCACCUACCGAUUGAAUGGUCCGGUGAAGCCUCCGGAUUGGCGCGCACCUCGGUGCCGCCGAGAAGUUGGCUAAACCUUACCAUUUAGAGGAAGGUGAANUCGUAACA
rnacentral:rRNA from 1 species